rnacentral:rRNA from 1 species
UACAGAGGGGGCAAGCGUUGUUCGGAAUUACUGGGCGUAAAGGGCGCGUAGGCGGCCCGCUAAGUCGAACGUGAAAUCCCCGAGCUCAACUCGGGAACUGCGUCCGAUACUGGCGGGCUUGAAUCCGGGAGAGGGAUGCGGAAUUCCAGGUGUAGCGGUGAAAUGCGUAGAUAUCUGGAGGAACACCGGUGGCGAAGGCGGCAUCCUAGACCGGCAUUGACGCUGAGGCGCGAAAGCUAGGGGAGCAAACGGG